GUGAGUUAGAAGAGCUGUGCACAAUCCAACAAACACCACAGAAGCUAGGGAAGGAAGUAUAAGACAUUAACACAGUAAGGUGACCUGCUAUCAGGUAAUAACAGCAUACAGUUGAUGGCCACAGCAAUGCCUGGAGCAAAUGAAUGGGCUGAGAGGAUGCGAGGCAUGGACGCUGGCGCUGACUCUUCUGGCUCCUCCUCCACGUGUAAGGCCCUUGUGAUUACACUGGGCACCCUGGAUAAUCAGGCCAAUCUCCUUAGUUUAAGGUGAACUGAAGCAGAACACAGAAGUCUAGAAGACAUUUUCCCUGUGAAUAGCCAGUCAUGCCUUCCUGACUUCUGGCUGCUUCUUUGACUUCUCAGACAAAUAUUUCAUUUCAGCACUGCUAUGUAUUCCAUAAACCUGACCUAGCCAUAUAUUCUGAUUUUCCCUCUGCUUUCCUGAAGGGUGAUUCAGAACAUCUUUCAAAAUUACUCUGUGGAAUACCAGAAGCACCAUUAUUUCAAAGGCAAAUUUGCCUUCUCCCUAGAGCUCUGAAAAUCUGUUAUGCUUCUUAGGAAACUUCCACAGUCAGAGGUGAGGAAGGGAGUGUUGUCCAAGUGGUAAGGUAGUGUAAUGGGAAGUUGCAGUUAUUUUAUUCCUUACUAAAAAUGCUGUCUCUAAAUAUUAUUAUUUUCUCCAUAUUUUAAAUGUCUGUUUACAAAAACAAACCAAUUCAUUCACAUCUAUUAAAUUUGAUAUCAGAAUUAGAUAUUAGGAAGUCUGUAUAAUCUGUUUAGGUCCUCACAAAGUAUUUAUGGAUUUUAUUUGAAAUGAAUAGA
rnacentral:lncRNA from 1 species